rnacentral:lncRNA from 1 species
CUUAAUUUGAUCCAAGGCACAGGGGUAAAUAGCAAAAACUCAAACGGUCCCUUCUGUGGGGCUAGUUGUGAAAAUGCAACAGGGCUCUAUCUUUCCCAGCACCAUUUGAUUACGUAACAGCUCAGUUAGUGAUAGGAAGGGCUGGAAAGAAGAUGAACAGGUCCAAACACCCCGGACGUGUCCCAGGGCAGGGAGAGGCCAGCUGACACACCCCAGGAGGAGGAAUCAAUAGACACAAGUUCAGGCCUAUAAGAUAUUUAUCACCAAUAAGUGUAUCCUGUAUGCAUACAAAUGCUCACUGGAUUCAUCACACAAGAGAGGCUAAAUACUCUGGUCAACCUCAGGAAGAGAAGGCACAGAUCUCAGGAGGUCCCCAGGAAAUCCCACCUCCUGAAUUUGGUGCGAAGGUCAGCUCCUUGCCCUGAAGUGACCAAGAGAGAGAAUUGA